UACGUAGGGGGCAAGCGUUGUCCGGAAUCAUUGGGCGUAAAGAGCGCGUAGGCGGCCCGACAAGUCCGCUGUGAAAGUCAAAGGGCUCAACCCUUGAAUGCCGGUGGAUACUGUCGGGCUAGAGUCCGGAAGAGGCGAGUGGAAUUCCUGGUGUAGCGGUGAAAUGCGCAGAUAUCAGGAGGAACACCAAUGGCGAAGGCAGCUCGCUGGGACGGUACUGACGCUGAGGCGCGAAAGCGUGGGGAGCAAACAGG
rnacentral:rRNA from 1 species